rnacentral:rRNA from 1 species
UGGCGGACGGGUGAGUAACGCGUGGAUAACCUGCCGUAUACUGGGGGAUAACACUUAGAAAUAGGUGCUAAUACCGCAUAAGCGCACAGUCUCGCAUGAGACGGUGUGAAAAACUCCGGUGGUAUACGAUGGAUCCGCGUCUGAUUAGCUUGUUGGCGGGGUAACAGCCCACCAAGGCGACGAUCAGUAGCCGGCCUGAGAGGGUGAACGGCCACAUUGGGACUGAGACACGGCCCAAACUCCUACGGAAGGCAGCAG